rnacentral:lncRNA from 1 species
AGGUUCAAGUUUGGGGUUGUAUGGGGGAAAAAUGAGAAAAGCAAAUGAAAAGCAUUGAGCUCAAAUGUUGUGAAAAGAAAAAUUCAUGAGAAAAAGAAAAGAAAAGAAGAAAAACAUGAAGAGGAGCUCAAUGAAAAAGAAAAAGAAAAAAAAAAGGGAAAAAAAAGUUGGGAACAAGUGAGAUUGGUGAGGAAGAGAGUUGUGCUAAAUUGUUGAAUAUUUUGAAAGCUCUUUUAACUCAAGGACUUUGUAAUCCGGAAAAACCAAUUUUUCUUGUUACCUCAACCUCAUUACAAGCCUUGAAGAAGUCCUUUUGAUGACAUUUGCAUGAAAAGAUGUUGAUUGUUUGAGAUGAAUGGCAAUUUUGUUUUAUGUGACUUGUGAACAAUAGAGAAUGGAGUGUAACCUUAAACACUUGAGUGAUUGAGUGAAACACUUGCUUGAUA